rnacentral:rRNA from 1 species
AGUGAACGCUGGCGGUAGGCCUAACACAUGCAAGUCGAACGGCAGCACAGUAAGAGCUUGCUCUUACGGGUGGCGAGUGGCGGACGGGUGAGGAAUACAUCGGAAUCUACUUUUUCGUGGGGGAUAACGUAGGGAAACUUACGCUAAUACCGCAUACGACCUACGGGUGAAAGCAGGGGAUCUUCGGACCUUGCGCGAUUGAAUGAGCCGAUGUCGGAUUAGCUAGUUGGCGGGGUAAAGGCCCACCAAGGCGACGAUCCGUAGCUGGUCUGAGAGGAUGAUCAGCCACACUGGAACUGAGACACGGUCCAGACUCCUACGGGAGGCAGCAGUGGGGAAUAUUGGACAAUGGGCGCAAGCCUGAUCCAGCCAUACCGCGUGGGUGAAGAAGGCCUUCGGGUUGUAAAGCCCUUUUGUUGGGAAAGAAAAGCGGCAGGUUAAUACCCCGCUGUUCUGACGGUACCCAAAGAAUAAGCACCGGCUAACUUCGCG